CGUAUAUUUUCACUUUUUAAGCAUUUUAAUUUCAUUUCUAGCGAGAAAUUAGUAUUGUAGUUUUCAAAUAUGUGAUUAGUUAUCACAAAGGCGCUCUCUGUUUAUAUUUCAAACACGCUGCCUUUGAAGUGCGUCGGAAAGCCUUUCUCUGAGCGGCCUUCAGGCCUCCGAGGCCGAAGUCAUGUCCUCAUGAGGGAGCAAGGCCACAAGUCCUCACAGUCUUGAGGUUUCGGACGCAGCCAGUGUCGUGGACAAAUGCGGAACUAUGCGCUUGCUUAUGGACUUAUGGAUAUCUCUGUACCGUCUGCCGCUGGUUGUGUCAGCUCCUGUAAGCGUACGGGCCAACCAAACGACCCAAGAAAAGUUUGGAACAAAACGAGGGAGGAUCAAUUUGGUGUUGCAUUAUCUGGAUAGAGAGAGCUUCACGACAACAUUUAACUAGACCGAGAUUCUGAUCCUGCUUGUGUUUUACGCGAUGGGUGAGUUGUUUUGAUUCGUAACCCUUCAAAAAACGUAUGCUAUUAUAUUGAUCACAACAUUAGUGUGUAGAUUGUAAUCAGCGCGUCUUCCCGCGGACGAUAUGCACAUCAAAGGUAUUGUACAGCAAUAUAAAUGGUCAUUUUAAGACACUUCACAAUAAGAUUUGUACUGUCAAUACAUUAUGUGAAAAAUCAUUGUAGAUUGUAAGUUGAAAACUUAAUUCUGAGCUGUGUUUACCAUCGAAUUUGGACUAAUACUGUAAUAUCAAUAUGACUAACAAUUUCGUUUUGAACAUCACAUAUAAACUUACAUAAUGAAAUAAACGAUGUCAUCAAACGCAACAUUUAUAAGACUUGAUUACCUUAUCCAUCAACGUGAUUUCUCGUUCUCGUCUGAUAUGGCUAAAGUUAAAGACUACAAAUCCCAUAAUUCCACGCUGCUUCAGAGCGUAAGUAAACAACAUCAUUGUUUUUGUUUGAUCUGGCGCCAUCUUUCGGCGCAUUUUACAUAUUGUAUCUUUAAU